rnacentral:rRNA from 1 species
CGGCGGACGGGUGAGUAACACGUGGAUAACCUACCUAUAAGACUGGGAUAACUUCGGGAAACCGGAGCUAAUACCGGAUAGUAUAUUGAACCGCAUGGUUCAAUGGUGAAAGACGGUUUUGCUGUCACUUAUAGAUGGAUCCGCGCCGCAUUAGCUAGUUGGUAAGGUAACGGCUUACCAAGGCAACGAUGCGUAGCCGACCUGAGAGGGUGAUCGGCCACACUGGAACUGAGACACGGUCCAGACUCCUACGGGAGGCAGCAGCC